UAGGGAAUCUUCCGCAAUGGGCGAAAGCCUGACGGAGCAACGCCGCGUGAGUGAUGAAGGUCUUCGGAUCGUAAAACUCUGUUAUUAGGGAAGAACAAAUGUGUAAGUAACUAUGCACGUCUUGACGGUACCUAAUCAGAAAGCCACGGCUAACUACGUGCCAGCAGCCGCGGUAAUACGUAGGUGGCAAGCGUUAUCCGGAAUUAUUGGGCGUAAAGCGCGCGUAGGCGGCUUUUUAAGUCUGAUGUGAAAGCCCACGGCUCAACCGUGGAAGGUCAUUGGAAACUGGAAAACUUGAGUGCAGAAGAGGAAAGUGGAAUUCCAUGUGUAGCGGUGAAAUGCGCAGAGAUAUGGAGGAACACCGGUGGCGAGGGCGACUUUCUGGUCUGUAACUGACGCUGAUGUGCGAAAGCGUGGGGAUCAAACAGG
rnacentral:rRNA from 1 species